GCCUUGAGUAAUGAUGAUUUAAUUUUGCAUGUAUUGUCUGGUUUAGGACCAGAUUAUAAUUCAGUAGCUACCUAUAUAACUGGUCAAGCAUGAAUUGGAAAAAUGGAUCUAAAUGAAGCUUAUGCAAUGCUUUUAAC
rfam:Citrus sinensis cultivar Ridge Pineapple sweet orange scaffold08757_contig_1, whole genome shotgun sequence.